UACGUAGGGGGCAAGCGUUAUCCGGAUUUACUGGGUGUGAAGGGAGCGUAGACGGCGAUGCAAGUCUGAAGUGAAAGGCGGGGGCCCAACCCCCGGACUGCAUUUGAAACUGUGUUUCUUGAGUACUGGAGAGGCAGACGGAAUUCCUAGUGUAGCGGUGAAAUGCGUAGAUAUUAGGAGGAACACCAGUGGCGAAGGCGGUCUGCUGGACAGCAACUGACGCUGAGGCGCGAAAGCGUGGGGAGCAAACAGG
rnacentral:rRNA from 1 species